rnacentral:rRNA from 1 species
UACGGAGGGUGCGAGCGUUGUCCGGAUUUAUUGGGCGUAAAGAGCUCGUAGGCGGCUUGUCGCGUCGUCCGUGAAAACCUGCGGCUCAACUGCAGGCUGGCGGUCGAUACGGGCAGACUUGAGUUCGGUAGGGGAGACUGGAAUUCCUGGUGUAGCGGUGAAAUGCGCAGAUAUCAGGAGGAACACCGGUGGCGAAGGCGGGUCUCUGGGCCGAUACUGACGCUGAGGAGCGAAAGCAUGGGGAGCGAACAGG